rnacentral:rRNA from 1 species
UACGUAGGGUGCAAGCGUUGUCCGGAAUUAUUGGGCGUAAAAGAGCUCGUAGGCGGUUUGUUGCGUCGGCUGUGAAAUCCCGAGGCUCAACCUCGGGUCUGCAGUCGAUACGAGCAAACUAGAGUGUUGCAGGGGAGACUGGAAUUCCUGGUGUAGCGGUGAAAAUGCGCAGAUAUCAGGGAGGAACUCGGUGGCGAAGGCGGCUCUCUGGGCAUG